rnacentral:rRNA from 1 species
AGUCGAGCGAAGCGGUUUUAAGGAAGUUUUCGGAUGGAAUUAAAACUGACUGAGCGGCGGACGGGUGAGUAACGCGUGGGUAACCUGCCUCAUACAGGGGGAUAACAGUUAGAAAUGGCUGCUAAUACCGCAUAAGCACACAGCUUCGCAUGGAGCAGUGUGAAAAACUCCGGUGGUAUGAGAUGGACCCGCGUCUGAUUAGCUAGUUGGUAAGGUAACGGCUUACCAAGGCGACGAUCAGUAGCCGACCUGAGAGGGUGACCGGCCACAUUGGGACUGAGACACGGCCCAAACUCCUACGGGAGGCAGCAGUGGGGAAUAUUGCACAAUGGGGGAAACCCUGAUGCAGCGACGCCGCGUGAGUGAUGAAGUAUUUCGGUAUGUAAAGCUCUAUCAGCAGGGAAGAAAAUGACGGUACCUGACUAAGAAGCCCCGGCUAACUACGUGCCAGCAGCCGCGGUAAUACGUAGGGGGCAAGCGUUAUCCGGAUUUACUGGGUGUAAAGGGAGCGUAGACGGAACAGCAAGUCUGAUGUGAAAACCCGGGGCUCAACCCCGGGACUGCAUUGGAAACUGUUGAUCUAGAGUGUCGGAGAGGUAAGUGGAAUUCCUAGUGUAGCGGUGAAAUGCGUAGAUAUUAGGAGGAACACCAGUGGCGAAGGCGGCUUACUGGACGAUGACUGACGUUGAGGCUCGAAAGCGUGGGGAGCAAACAGGAUUAGAUACCCUGGUAGUCCACGCCGUAAACGAUGACUACUAGGUGUC